GUUUGAGUCUGCCGCCUUUGGGCGUCUCCCUCUGAGAUGUCGGUUAGGAUUUCUUUUUUUUAUAUGUCCGUGUGUGUAACUGUUGCCUUUUAGCCUGUUGUGUUCCUGAGCAGCAAGAAGAGGCGGCUGUGGUGACCCGCCCGAUGCGGAAGGCUUCUGGGCCCUGUCGGCGGGGGCGCACCUCUCUGGCUGACUGGUUGACCAGGCUUUGACCAGGUGGCCGGGGAGGCGCAUCCUCGCUGGGCGGGGUCUGGGGGCCCUCCGUCUUGGGGAGGUCGCUGCAGCAGGAGGAGGUAACUACUGCUGGUUUUGUAAGGCAUUGUGGUUGAGAGCACCUUGCAGCUGUAACGCGAAUUUCGUUCCGUAAUAAACAAUGUACCGCCAUGCUGCCUGUCCUUCCUCCCUCCCAGCACUGUGUACGUCUGUGUGUGUGUGUGUGUUGCUUAAUUCUCCCUCACUGCACUGUGUACGUCUGUGUGUGUGUGUUGCUUAAUUCUCCCUCACUGCACUGUGUACGUCUGUGUGUGUGUGUGUUGCUUAAUUCUCCCUCACUGCACUGUGCGUACGUCUGUGUGUGUGUGUUGCUCUGUCUCUGUCUCUCUCUCUCUCAAUCUCUCUCUGUCUGUCUCUCUAUCUCUCAAUCUCUCUCUGUGUCUUUCUCUCUCUCUCUAGUUAGUAAAGAACAGGCAACGUUUGCCAUGGAAGACUCUACAGUGUACAUCCCAACCCUCUACGGCCGUUGCUGCUCCACCCGGGCAUUACCACAUCCACCCGGGUCUACAAGAAACCUCCAGGGCCGAGCUUCAACCACAGAACACCUCGUCACCGUUGAGGAGGUUCCACGCCCCAGACCACAGCCAUGUUAGCCUCGAUAAUAAAACUCGGCGCACUAAUUCUGAGACGUCCUCGUGAGUGAGUGUCCUAAUUGCCUUUACUGAUAAUGUCGCAGGUAUCCAAUGGUUCAGGUGUGAUAGAUAUUUUUGUUAUUGUGUCGUAAAUAUCCAGUGAUUAUUUCCGAGUCGCUGAAUGUUCAUCGCACACAGUUUGUCUUUGAGUAAAAACACUAAUUAAUUAAUAUCCAUGAUCGGUUAGGUUACGAACUCCCUCAAUUUCAGGCUGGAGAGCUACACAACACUGGUCAUCCGCUGAGUGGUUGAUUUCCUGGUCUACUGGCCCCUGGAGGAGUGGUCAAUUUCCUGGUCUACCGUGGAUAUGAGUGGUUGAUUCCCUGGUCUACCCCUGGAUGACACGGCUGUUCCUAUGCAGGGGAGGACUCACACAAGCGAUAAGCACCUGUCGGACCUGGAGACUCCCCCCUGAGCCUGACGGUGGAGCUGUGGGCCUUGCACCAGACCCCCCCACACCCUUCACACCACCCACAGCAGGGGCAGAGUGUUGAGACUCCCCCCACAGGCUAAGACAGGGAGGGACUUGAAGAUCCAGGUUUUUGUCAUCUGCACAGGAGUUGACACGUGGUAUUUGGGAGCAGCGAGUAGCAGGCUUUUUUUUUUAAUAUAGUUUCCUUUUUUGUGUGUGCCCUUGAGCUGUCUCCUUUGUUGUAGAAAAAAAUACUUGACAAGGCUUUCAUAGGUGUUUGGGGCAUUUCCAGGGGUAGUUUGAUGACCCUGGUGGUAGUCUGACCCUUCCUCUGCGCAAUGAACUUGAAAAAACGCUCAUAAAAACACAGAUAUUAACUCAGUAGCAGCGGGGAUCAUGUUUCUUAAUGGUCCCUCCAAGCGAGAAAAAUGAGAAAAAAAUCACCCCUCACACAAACCAUUUCAUAUAUAUCAAAGUAUUUGCAAUCAGAUUAUGUAUCAUCUAUUUUUUGGGGUUUAUAUCAUGGCACAAAUUAAUUUAGCCUGUCGCUGCUACACGGUAAAGCCACAAAUUUGGCCCGUUGCUGCUACUGGGUUAACCUCAUUGUCGUGUUAAAAUCCCUGUAUCUCACUUAUCUUCCUCUCCCUCUAUAUUAUUUGUCAAUCUCUCUCUUUCUCUCUCUCCCACAGAUGUCUAAGGUUCCGCCCAUGCAGCUGAAGGGUGCCAAUGCCUACACAUGCAUCGACCACAGGUGUGCGCUGGACAUUGCCUACAAUUCAUGGUGCAAAUGGUAUGUUGGAGGAAUUCUUUGAUGUAUUUGAGGGACUGGGAUGCCUGCUGGAUGGUACAGGCAAAUUACUUGGCUCACAACUGAGAGAGCCCGGGUUCAAUUCCCGGGCAGAGUGGAUAAAUUUGGGCGGCUUUUCCGAUACCCUACGCCCCUGUCCACCCAGCAGUGAAUGGGUACCAGGUAUUAAUCGGGGGUUGUGUCCCGUCUCCUGGGGUCUGUUCCCUUCUCCUAUAAUCCUUUCCUCUUCUGUCUCUCUCCGGCAUAUGACCACAGAUGUUGCACCCACUAAACAAAACUUUCCAACUUUCCAACAGUUGAAUUACAGUUUGGUCCAAGUGCUGUCCCUGUGGCUCACCCUCCUAGAGAAAUACCUGUUGCUCUGAGGGAUAAACUUAAGAAGGAAUUAGACCAUAUGGAAAGACUAGGUGUCAUUGUUGAAGAAAAUAAACUGACAGAUUGGCUCAAUAGUAUGGUUAUUAAAUGUGGCAUCCUUGUGUGUUACAGCUAAUAUAUAUACUGUGUCAUCUGCAUAUAAAAGUCAUGAAUAGGAAACACUAAUUGACAUACCAUUUACAUAACAUAAGAAUAAAAUAGCUCCCAGGAUUUAUAUAUAUUUAUUUAUUUUCUUUUAAUCAAGGUUUUAGUAAGAAGAGGAACCCUGUACCCUGCCUUCCACUACACACACACACACACACACACACACACACACACACACACACACACACACACACACACACACACACACACACAAACACACACACACACAAAAAAAUAUAUAUAUAAAAAAAUA